rnacentral:rRNA from 1 species
AUUGAACGCUGGCGGCAUGCCUAACACAUGCAAGUCGAACGGCAGCACAGCAGUAGCAAUACUGUGGGUGGCGAGUGGCGGACGGGUGAGGAAUACGUCGGAAUCUGCCCAGUCGUGGGGGAUAACUAGCCGAAAGGUUAGCUAAUACCGCAUACGACCGAGAGGUGAAAGCGGGGGACCGCAAGGCCUCGCGCGAUUGGAUGAGCCGACGUCGGAUUAGCUAGUUGGCGGGGUAAAGGCCCACCAAGGCGACGAUCCGUAGCUGGUCUGAGAGGAUGAUCAGCCACACUGGGACUGAGACACGGCCCAGACUCCUACGGGAGGCAGCAGUAGGGAAUAUUGGACAAUGGGCGCAAGCCUGAUCCAGCAAUGCCGCGUGUGUGAAGAAGGCCUGCGGGUUGUAAAGCACUUUCAGUGGGGAAGAACAGAUUCGGGUCAAUACCCCGGAGCCCUGACGUUACCCACAGAAGAAGCACCGGCUAACUCCGUG